AGUGAACGCUGGCGGCAGGCUUAACACAUGCAAGUCGAGCGGGGUGAUGGUGCUUGCACUAUCACUUAGCGGCGGACGGGUGAGUAAUGCUUAGGAAUCUGCCUAUUAGUGGGGGACAACAUCUCGAAAGGGAUGCUAAUACCGCAUACGUCCUACGGGAGAAAGCAGGGGAUCACUUGUGACCUUGCGCUAAUAGAUGAGCCUAAGUCGGAUUAGCUAGUUGGGGGGGUAAAGGCCUACCAAGGCGACGAUCUGUAGCGGGUCUGAGAGGAUGAUCCGCCACACUGGGACUGACACACGGCCCAGACUACUACGGGAGGCAGCAGUGGGGAAUAUUGGACAAUGGGGGGAACCCUGAUCUAGCCAUGCCGCGUGUGUGAAGAAGGCCUUAUGGUUGUAAAGCACUUUAAGCGAGGAGGAGGCUCUUUUGGUUAAUACCCAAGAUGAGUGGACGUUACUCGCAGAAUAAGCACCGGCUAACUCUGUGCCAGCCGCCGCAGUAA
rnacentral:rRNA from 1 species